GAGUUUGAUCGUGGCUCAGAACGAACGCUGGCGGCAGGCUUAACACAUGCAAGUCGAACGGACGUAGCAAUACGUUAGUGGCGCACGGGUGAGUAACGCGUGGAUAUCUGCCUUUUGGUUCGGGAUAACCUUGGGAAACUAGGGCUAAUACCGAAUGGUUCCUACGGGAUAAAGAUUUAUCGCCAAAAGAUGAGUCCGCGUCCGAUUAGCUAGUUGGUGGGGUAACGGCCCACCAAGGCGACGAUCGGUAGCUGGUCUGAGAGGACGAUCAGCCACACUGGGACUGAGACACGGCCCAGACUCCUACGGGAGGCAGCAGUGGGGAAUAUUGGACAAUGGGGGGCAACCUCGAUCCAGCCACUGCCGCCGUGAGUGAUGAAGG
rnacentral:rRNA from 1 species